rnacentral:lncRNA from 1 species
UGGCCGGGCGGGGCCAGGGUGAGAAAGAGCUACGUGUUAUAUCACGACCUUGAGCCUUCGGCUCGUAUGCGGCGGUUUGCAGGUAAGGGGAACGCACCCCACGACCAUGUAACAUACACUCACACAUAUCACGACUACAUCUGCUACAGAAAAGUGCCGCCGGCGGAUGCAGAUCCCGUGAUAUGCCCAGAAUACAACACUACGGAGGAAACAAAAACAAGAGCUUGGUAAGACAGGUGAUUGGUAAGACAGCAAGCUCGGUAAGGUUCUGAAGCAACGAACGCGGUGGUGGGAGGGGUAGCAGAGGUUUCAAACAAUCGGGAGUUGCGGGAAGCCUUCCUUUAAUGUGGUUUUGCACUGAUGUACAACAAGUUACCAAGUUAUAAGUUCCGCACAAAAUAGGGGGAUGUCCGUAAAAGCCAGGGGAGAGGGUGCCAUGUGAGAUCAUGUAGCUAGGGAUACAGCCCACAAAGGUGCGCACUCUCAGGGCGGCCCCCGCUAGGACCCGAUGACCUACGUGCUGGACGGGACGGGCGUGGCGGCCGCAUUGCAGCUGGUGGAGCCGGAAAGGUCCAGGCACGUGCUGCCCUCGGUGGUGAUUUCCACCCUGUAACCCUCCAACUCGGGCUUGCAAACACUGCCAACGGAGGCGGAUCCGAGGAAAUACGGCAUAAGAGCCUCUGCCGUGGCCUUGAAGUUCUGAGCCUCUGCCGCAUAGGCAAAAGUGCCGCACACACGCGUCUCCAGUUCUGUGCAGUAGUUGUAGUUGAGUACGAAGUACGACAACAUGUGGAUGUUGUUAUCGAUGAGGGCGACAUUGAUUUGUGUGGAGAUAGCAUCCUGGAUCUGGAAGCAUGCAUAAGGAUCGUAUCGGUACGGACGUACGUCAAUGGCUGGAGGCUGCAGCUUGGCNNNNNNNNNNNNNNNNNNNNNNNNNNNNNNNNNNNNNNNNNNNNNNNNNNUCUGCGGUGGGGGAGGGGGCGGCGGUGGCGGCGGUGGCGGCGGUGGCGGCGACGGUGGCGGUGGUGGAGGUGGAGGCGGCGGUGGAGGCGGCGGUGGAGGCGGUGGCGGAGGCGGAGGCGGUGAUGGCGGCGGUGAUGGAGGUGGCGGUGGCGGAGGCGGAGGCGGUGAUGGCGGCGGUGAUGGCGGUGGCGGUGGCGGAGGUGAUGGCGGGAGAGGUGAUGGUGGGGCGUUCGGUAACGGAAGAGGAAGAGUUGAGGCUUGAGAAAUCGGGCAGCACUCGCACGUAGUGUCGAAAAUAGCUGCUGCACAGAAGCCCGACGGGUAGCCUGGCGGCGGAGUGCAGAGCUGCUCCAGGGUGGUGCAGCCCUUGCCAAGCCUGUUGUUCUUAAGGAUGAUGCACACCUCCGCAUUCUGGGCGCUCGUCGUGUCCAACCCCAGUUGCGUGAGCCGCAGAACAGCCGUGCCAUUCCGGCCGUUAACAGGCCGUCCGAAAGCCGCACCGAUUCGCGUGUAGACGCCAUUGAUUGUGGCCUUCGCCUCCGCAGCUGGCUGCACAAUGCAGCUGUCGGAAACAUUGAACUGCGGGUGCAGGCCAAGGAACAAGAAGGUCAAGAGCUCAGCACUAAUUCGAGGCGUGCACAUGCCAAGCGCCAAUUGCGUAGGAGCUAACAAGCGUUUGGUGUGCAUGAACUCGUCUUUACGCCGAAGAACCGCCAAGCCCUCAGGCCCCCCAACCCAACCACCACGCGUACGAUGCUUUGGACUGCCCGCCGCACCUCGGGUGCCAUUGAAUCACAACGGAAUUCCCGCAUUUACCUCAAUCUUGUGCAGGUCUACUCCGCAGCAUUGAUUUGUACAACUCUGGACUUUGAGGGUGAAGCAGAAGUGGCCCGGAGCGCGUUGCGUCACGUUGGGCAGGAACCGAUAAGCGCCAAUCUUUGAGGCGCAAUUCCGGAAGGGGAACGCUGGUAUAAGACCUGUCUGUUCACCAGCAGGUGCGUCGUAGUCGUUGUAUUCCCCGAAAGAGUAAAAAGGGUCCUCCCCGUACGCAUCCGCGAUUGCAGCCCUACAAGGAUCAAUAAUGAAAAUUAUUUCGCUGUAUCAAGGAUUAUUCAAAGCAUCGGGCGCGUUAUUGGUAUCAACUCUUCCAAACAUGUGAUGUUACACGCAGAAGUGCUGCCUUCAGAAAUAUGGAAGGGUUGGAAGCAACCAUAGUUUAUGAAUCCUACUUACAGAAUGUUAAUUUAUAAUCAGGCAAUCAGAAACAUGAUUAGCACGUCCUUGUCACUUACCACGCAACCGCAAGAACUGCGAUCGCAAGCAGUGUAUUCCGCAUCAUCUUUAAUAUCAAAGAAAUGCAAUAAUUAUUAAAAUAUCAGAGCCUACUUUUAUGUGCACCCAACGUAGGCGAGCGGCCGACGGGUGGUGUACCGGUACGUAAAGGCUGGCGGGCGGAUGCCCCCUCCAAAGCAGGUCCCCGGAUGUUGCAACAGUAUGGGACCAUUAGUUGCAAUGAAUCACAAGACUCCAAUUUUACAAUCUUUUUUGUGACAAUGCCAUUCGCGGCGCAAUCUUCGCUUGUAGAGCGCUUGCCAUCGAAACAAUAGCCCGUUGCACGUUACCUGGCCUUGCCACCUUCCGCGCAUGUUCGUUACGACAAAAGUCAAUAAAACGUAUAACUUUGCCAAUAAUCCACCAAGAUGUGCAAAGACAACCUCCCUCUACAGCAGGAGCCCUGCCUUUGAAUGCUGACCGUGACUGCUGACACAUAUGUCCGCGCCCAUUCUGACCGAUCGCCAAACGCCAUUUGCUCGUCAGUAUUUGACUGUUGCCUGUCAGUGUUUGACAGUUGUGUGUCACUAUUUGACUAUGAGGAACCGCGCGCGCAUCGACCACUGCACCCCGGCUGACCCUUGGAGAUCAGUCCUGAGAGCCGCGCCGUCCAACUCCUAACCUAAUCUGGCCUACAUCCUUCCCGCUUCCCCCCGGGCAUCAGCUCCAUGACGAACACUUACCAGCUGCAGUCUACCUUCUAGAUCCAAGCCCCGCGCCCAUGCAUCUGCAUCCGAGCCCUUCUAUCUGUUGAAUUUGAUUGCGCCUGCGAAACAGUCCAGCCCAGCCCAACCACUACUUGCGGGAUUGCCACAUGCAUUAAAAGACAGUGCACACACCGUACUACCCCCACAAUCUCGGUAGCAAAGUAGGGUCGUAGGGACUCCUGCUGCGUAUUCCAGGUUUAUCUUAUCGUACAAGCAGCACGCAGCUCGAAGUAGGGCUACUUCCCAGGAAAGAACCCAGGACGGCUAGCAGGAAAUAGGUGUUUGCGUGUAAUGAUAAUGAAAAGAGCUUCAGGUCUUUCUCGAGUAGUUGCACUUCAAGAGUCCAAUGGUAUCCCCCCGGCAAACCAACCGCCAUGCCUCAGGGGAGAACCAGCCGUGGUUCGCCGCCCGCAAAAGCCGCAUUCCCAAACACAUCCAAUAAAGGAUGCAACAAGUUACAAGUUACAAGUUACAAGUGCCGCACGAGUGCGGGGGGGCCCGUCAAAGCCGGGAGGCCAUGGACUAUAUAUUUUGAAAGUUAAUUACACCGUACGACCGACGGCGGUUUGGGUCCUGCCAACUAGACCCCUCCUCAUCCAGUCACCCGACAUCCGUAGAGACAGAUCAGCCACCACCACCAUCUCAGCAUGCGAAACUUAGUCCAUCAACUAGACCUCAUCUCCACACCUCAGCAGCGUUAGUAAACCUAGACCUCCCGAACAAUGUCGGGGUCUGACCAGGAAUCGAACCCGGAACCUUCAUAUACACAAAGGCGCCACCAGACCAGACCAAAAAAUUUGGACCAUUUCUCGAUUUGUGCGUAGAGUUAGACAACCAGCGAUAUAACGUAUGGCAGCAGUCUGACAGGAAGCCGGGCUGCAUAGGAUUUCGGCCUUUCGGAUUCUGUCCGCUGUCGUCGGCCAUUUCUACAACUUAGAUCAGUUGCGUGCCGAGUUGUCGUUGAAGGAAUUCGGCUUGUGAGUGUGUUCUUGCUGUUAUGUGUGCUGUUAUCUACACACUACGUCGCUAUUGAACACACCGAGCACCACAGACAGUCCAUGCGGCAGUGCUAGUAUGGACGGUAUGUGUGUGUGUGUGUGUGUGUGUGUGUGUGUGUGUGUGUGUGUGUGUGUGUGUGUGUGUGUGCGUGUGUGUGUGUGUGUGUGUGUGUGUGUGUGUGUGUGUGUGUGUGUGUGUGUGUGUGUGUGUGUGUGUGUGUGUGUGUGUGUGUGUGUGUGUGUGCGCGUUGGCGUUGGCGUUGGCGUUGGCGUUGGCGGUGGCAGCGCCCGGAUUGAAUUUGCGAGCAUACGGGGCAAACUAGAGCCGCUGAUGGGGAUGCCUGGUGUUACCCCACCCUCUGGGAUGCGAUGGGGACCGCUGUGUAUGAGCCGCGGUACGGGGCUCGCCUUUCCUGUCCUGCAUGUAUGCAGCGCUUAGGUGCUGGCACCACCACCUGUGGUGCCACCACCUGUGAUCCGUUCAAGUCCCUUGCGAAGAUAUUUAUAUAUUCGUUUAUUUUUUAUUAAUUUAAUCACCAAACAGUGGAAACUACGUCUGCUUUAAUGUCGUCAUUCAUUUGUUUACCGUUGCCGAGACGAUCUGUGGUUUGAGGACUGAUUGUGGAUAGCGCAGCCUGCCUGCGGUUAGGCGGAAGAGGCUUUGCUCCGGCCGCGGGGCCUUUCCCUGGAGCAGGUUAGCCCGCUUUAGGCAAUAAUGUAGCUGCUGGUCUACGCUAAUCUGUAGCUCUUUAGCAUGAGGGGCGAUCACGCGCGCUUCCAGUCCAGCCGCGAUGGAAAAUUUUGAUGGUACUGUUGUUAGCUCGGUUAUCGAUCGAGAUUGAAGGUGAGACAGCUGACCAUGGAAGUGCAAAAACGGCAUUGGCAGCAGCGGCAGCAGGUGUAGCCGUUUGUCAUAAUAAGAUGUCAUCAUCGGUUAUUACAAUAACCUGCAAACACAAAACUUAGAAGGUAGCCUGAAUUCCGAUGUUGCUGCUGCAUGACUAAUGAAAACGUCCAGAAAAUUUGAGGCUUUAAAAUAAAGAUGCUGCGGCGUUAUGUGCUUCCUUAUUUAUUUAUAGGCGUGCAGCAUGAAACAUCUUUCCUAAUGACGAAAAGGGCCUUCGCGUUCAUGCAUCGUAUGAACCCGGAUAUCCGCAACCCCGCACCGAACUAAAUAACACUCCAGAUUUUGAUGACAAUACUUGCACUCGGUCGCUUAUAUUGCUGAGCACAGCGUCCAAGCACCCCAGCGCUCGUCCAAGGCCCCAUGAAAAUGACCCUCGCCCGCCGCAAAAUGACCAACCGCCUGGAUGCUAAACGUUUUGGACGUGCCAGAUUUCCUGCCGUCUGACUGACGCAGAAAUUGACUGGCUUUGACCGCCUGACAUCCAACUUGACCCUGUCACAUAUAAGCAGGUUUAAUGAUAGCUCAUUAUUCUAUUUGUGGAUAGCUUAUCGCUCAGUCCUACUGUGUUGCGCGUUACAGAAGCUAAGCCGGCAGCCGCCAGCCGGCAGCUUGGUAGCAAAACACACAACCCGGUUGCGAAGGGCCCAUCCCAACACCAACCCAUGGUGAAAGUUGCACUAGUGCCCGAUAAUGAUGACAGUUACCCGUGUUCCACCGCCAAAGAGCCCCCGGGACUUAAAGGACAAGCGGCUUGCCGUCCCCUGCCGUACUGUGGUCGGGCACAUGCGUGCAUGCAUGCGCCCUGCUUCCACGCAACACGACAGUUCCUUUCGAAAUAACGAACUACUCGCCUAUCUCUACACAAGGAAGAGGAAGUAGUGACCAGCUGCUCGGCCCAAAUCCCACAUAUAAACGCGAAACGCUUAUUUUCCUCCAGCAGCCCUAUGUGCGUGUAUGACGCAUCCCAUUCUAUUAUAGGUCCCAUAUUCUCCCGCCUGCCUUGCUCCUUCAUGACAUCAUGCAACUGAUCCAGUGUUUAUUUUUUUGGUAAUAUAUUACUUUUUUGGGAAUAAAUGGGGGUCUGAGCCUGGAAGAAAUGGAAUAAUUGGUCAGUUGGCCGUACUGGUUCAUUACUUCGGCCAUAAGUCGCACCAAAUGCCUUCUGCACAUAUAAAGCUGAACAUCUGGAGCUUAUACACUAUUUAUAUAUAAAAUAUUUGAUGAUAUCACCAUGAGACGGCCAGCUGUUGCAUUCAACUUAGGUCAACGGGGCAUUCGUUCAUUCUUGACCAAAGCAAAGGGCUCAGAAAGUCCGCAGACGCAAUGCCCCAAACAUUUAGAAGAAGAAUUAGAUAAUACAGAAGACAAGGAUAGGCACUUCGUAGUUGCCGCUCUUGAAGUCAGUGAAUCCAGCGAUUUGAGCGAAGUCGGCGGCUGGUGCAAUGCAGUGGUGUUGAUGGUGCCGACAGUGUACAUAUAUAUAACUUUGGCUUCGCGUGCUCACGACGUUGAUGGACAGUCAAAGUGGCUCCGCGCCCUGCUCACAGAGACACUGGCGCCAAUGCAGUUAGGUGCACAGAACGAUGGUGGUACGACAUGUGUGUUUCCAGACGUCAGGUGUUGUUUACAGCACACCGUACAGCCUUUGAGGGGGGGGUCUGGGGGGGGCGCAGCCCCCCCCAGCGACUAUACAAAAAGGAAUUGUAACCGCAAGAAACACCCAGUUUAUUACUCUAGGGUAUUAGGCCCCAAACGAAAAAAAAAACACUGAACUGAUCCUACCCCCUUUGCAUGACUCUACCUGCAAGAGCUAUCACCUACUUUUUAGAUUCUCUUAAUUGGAGGACUUUUGAGGCUCAGGCCUAUUUCAAUAAUAAUUGGGGGUCCUGAGCCUUCCCUUUGGUCGCGGUUUUGGCUAUCUAAUUGCCUUUAGUUGUCUCAUCUGGGUUGUCGCGUCAUACGACUGUAGCAUCGACAAAACACGUGCGUACGGCAGACUCGUGACGCUUAAAUGUCGUGGCAGGGUGAUUGUCUAGUUUGUAUAUUAGUCUCUAGUGCCGUAAUGCACGGCCAGCUGGCUGGCCCGCUGGCUCUACUCUUCGUGAGUCUGGAGCCCACUGUAACAACCACACACGUGUCCUGACCCAGCUCCUAUAGAACUGGGUUAUCUUAGCCACACAUCAGGCCCCCUGUGCCGCACCGCCGUCCCCUGUGGGAACCCCUUUGAUGCCGCCGCCGCCAGCCUCCGAUCUUUGUUGCGUGUUAGUUGCCUGGUCUGCUGACCACGUACACGGUCCCGCUAGGUAUUAACGUGCGGCCCUACCAGCCCAGCCCUACCAGCCCUGCUGCAACCGUUGUGGCGACCCCACGCUCCCUCGCAGCCGGGUGGAUAUCACCCUGGGGGGAAACUGCUAGCUAUGGGACUUCAAUACCCCCCCCCUCGAUGAGCGAGGAAUAACACGCUGCUUCCUUCGUUUGAGGAUUUGCGCACGUAUGCCGUAUGUUUAUGCGGCGGCGAUGAUGAACUGCUGCAUCUGACAGCGGAAACGGAUGAUGUUGGGCAUAUAGUUACACACAGGCAUCCCGCAUGGUAGGUGCGUGUGCACGCAUGUCGUACACGGAAAAAGAAAUGUCGGCCCAGGGACUGUUCACGCCACGGCCCGUGUGAUUGCUCUCCCAGAAGCCGUAGCAUGGGGGCAUGUAUGGAAAGUGCAGCACGCGCUACGGCUGCCAUGACUACUAGAGCCAGCUAAUUUAGCGUGCGCAAGAAAGAAUGCUAGAGCGCAUUCGUCGCGAUUAAAACGAUCAAGAAAAAUAAUUGUCUAUCCACAAGCAAUCAAUUUGCGCGUUAGGCGGGGAUCGGUAGCCCUCAUGCAUAGCACCUAGCUAGCUAAGAAUGACCUGCACGGCACAUACACACGCACGCACGCACGCACCCGCCUUACGAGACGCACGUAGAAAUAGUCCCAUGCAUCUUUGCACAUACGGCCAUCAAGGACACAACCUUAAUUCCUCUCCAAAACGGCUUGCGGCGGACCAAGUGCGUGCGUGAGGAGCACCGUCCGUGGUUAGGUUAACGUCCAUCCGUACAUGUGUGCGUGCGUGCGUGUGUGCGCCUAACUAUAGCCCUAUCUAGCCCCAAACAAUGUAAUUGUAUACAAAGCAAUAAAUGAUGGAGGGGAGGGCUGAAACCGGUGAGGGACUUGACACACACGUACAUCCAGCAGAUGUCGCCCCGCUAGCCCUAGGCGGCCACAUAUGCGACACACAAAGCUAGCUGUUUCUCGUCACACACAAAAAAAUGCAUGCGAGAUGCGACCCAGAUGCACAACCUCGCUGCCACCAACAAUAAUGACGUUCAUCAUAUUUUCCUAAGGGUCUGAUUCGAACGCACACGCACACGCACAUCCACAUUCAAUCAUAACAUACACACACACAAACACAUACAUCUGGAGGUGACUUAGUUCAUUUGAGGGUAGAUAGAAAGAAGAUGAUUUCAUGCAAAGAAAGGUAGAUGGUUCAAUUCCUAAUGGACUUAGGGUUUGGCGAGCAGGUAGUUCAGGCCCCCAAUCCCGAGUAUCAAUCAUAUUUAACAAAUAUGUCCAAUGCUCCCCCUCACCCGUCAUUCUAUGCAAGCAGGAAAACCCUUUCCUGCUGCUAAUACAGCUCCCCGCUCCUGCUUUCUUGCCUCAUCCUGCCGGUAGUGCUAGCUGCUAGCUUCAACGUGCAAAUGCCUCAUGCACACCCUUGGCGGUUGCUUGGGUGUCCAUCGCUGCCCUCAUGCACCCACUCACACGACAACGGCCUAAUACUAACCCCCAAAACAACCGAACGGCCAGGCGCCCGGGCGGCCAGGCGGCCGGGCAGCCGGGCGGGCAACCCCAACGUUUCACAACGCCAGAAACCCCCGCAGCCUCUGACCAUCUACCCGGGCAGGCAAGGCCGCGCAAAACAUCAUCACAUCUCCUCCCUAUCCCUCUCCCACUACCACACCCGUUCCCCGGGUGGGAGGGGGGGCCCCAUAGAUCCAUGGAUGGAUUGGCUAGGCUCUCCGCCAAGCGCACACGCCUGCCUGAUACGUUACACUGGCAGGUCUACUACCUGGUCUCUGCUACCACCCAGCACUCUGCUACUGAAACAAUCAAUGGGGGCCAAGCCAUUUCCUGCUGAUGGUGGCAGCCAACUUACACGACAAUACCAUGAUCUAAAACGUGCAACAAACUGUAUUGCUGUAUGAUUGUACGGCUACGGAGAUGUGCUUUGUGUAGACCCUUCGUGUACAUCAUACCCGGCCACUGCCAUCCGCUCUGCCGUAGCGAGCCACAGCCUUGGUACGGUGUUCAUCCUCGGUCUGUCCGAAUGUAUUUCUGUCACCGAUGAUGCGCGCCGCUUGACGUCCAGCACGGAAUUAUUCAUCGUCCACCGUCCAUCGCACACGCACACGCACAGGACCGUGCGCAGCCGGACGAGCGGUGGCCCAUGUACGAUCGACAUACAGACUCACAUAGAUUGGCCAAGCAGUCGUGCUAGGUAUAACCUAGCAAGCAUGAGUUGUGCAGCGGGCUGACUUAUGAUCGCCCUGAACGGUAGACGGGGCAGCAGCCGCUGUUGGUGCCGUACACCCUCACAAAGCUGCACGGGGGGGUGACACACGGGGGGAUAUACACACACACACAGAAUCGGGUCAGGGUGUGUCUGGGGGGAUAGGUGGGGGGAGCUGGGUGAUAGUAGACAAGCUAGUCCGCACCCCCUAGCUGCAAGGGGCGCAAUGGCCGGCGGCCGAGAGCGCAGGUAAAGAGCCUAGAGGUAUGACGGCUCCACCUUCCAAUAGUUCACGACUUUGAUCAGACGCUUGAUCAGGCAAACAGUUUCUACGUUUCAUCAUUUCUCUCCUCCAGUUCACUUCGAACGGGCGGAAAAGCGAGCGGAUAACAGCAACAACACGGCUGUACAAGCCAAAAGAUAUUUUUUUCCUGGAUAUGAUAUUAUACAGCCCGGCGAAUCCAUUCUUCCUGCCGCCGCUCAACCGACCCCAGCAGCCAGCUGUGAUGUGCUGAGCUGUGCUAUGCCAACCACGUCUACACGCGCACACGUCGCACACCAUGUGCACCUCCGUUGCUUACCACUGGGAGGGGAUGCCGAGACACAGCUCGUCCAUGAUCUUGGCGUUAUCCAGCACAAUGCACACUCGACCACCCUGGGCUUGAGCGAGGCUCCAGUUAAUGUUGGUGGCUGCAGCAACAGAUAUAUAGGAAGGGCAGCGGCGGCGGCGGCGGCGGCGGCGGCAGUCCGUCAUUAGUAGGCCAAGCAAAAGCAGGUGGAGGGGAGGGGAGAGACGCGAGGCGUCUCGUUUAGGGGGAAUCAGGAACUUGCCGAACGUGCUCAGCAGCUCUUCGCCAUCCUUAAUGUUUAUGAGGCGUGCAAGAACCCGCACGCCGUUCUUGCAAAGAGAGGGGUCUAAUCCUUCCCCCCCUUAAUGCAACUGAUGGAUUCCCCCUUCCCCGUCGUCCUCUCCCAACACAGACACACAGACAGACAAACGGACACACUUGCAUACACUUACAUACAUACACAGACGCACACGUGCACAUAUACACACAUAUACACGCAGGUACGGCGCUAGGUAGCUGUCUCCCUCGCGUACCUCUCAGAGUGUUUGUGCCCAUCGGUCCCCAGCUGACAGGCAACGUGGCCUUGGUGCCGCCAGCCGGAUACACGUUGAGUCCCUUCACCAGGGUACCCAUGGCUUGGCCUGCGGUCAAAGUGGCGAGCAAUGGGGAGCAGACAGCAGACAACAGACAGCUGAGAGUUCCGACACGCAUAUGUUGGAAUCAUAUGAUCAAGGUACGGAGCGUGUUUAGGACUGGGUUUUGAGAAAGUGACCAACACUCACAUUCAUAUAAUACCAGUGAAUUGUGACAGCAGUAACAGGACUCUGGGGGCCGUCCGUGGCGCUUUGCUGAGUCUACAACUGACAUCAGUGGAGUGCCAUUCGGGGUAAGUGCUGUAUCUGCUUGCUUGCUUGCUGACACGCAUACACAUACAUACAAACGUACAUACAUCGACGCAUACACACACAUUUACGCACAUACAUUUCCCUUCAUCGCCAUCAUCCGCCCACUUUGCGUGGUUUGUUUCUUACUGAUGCACUUACUCGCAUACCACUCGACAGUGGUGAGGACGCCGUUGGAGGCGCUGCCGCUGCCGCAAGCGCUCUGUGUGUGGGGGGGCCAAAUUGCAUGGUGAGGGGCCCAGCAAGCAGGUCCGUCAAACAAUCAACCGAUUAACCGAUUAACCUAUUACUCAGCCAUUCUGCUCUCUAAUGAAAGGCGUUCAAAAGCGCCUUGGCAGUAGCGGCAGUUGCGGCAGUAGCGGCAGUAGCGGCAGUCGCGGCAGUUGCCAGUCCGUCCUUGAUAGCGGCACCCCAUAGCCCGUGUUGGGCAGCAGCUUGGGAGCAUUUACGUAUGUGUGUAUGUAUGUGUAUAUGUAUAUGUGUGUGUGCGCCUGAUUUGGACAGCCCCCGGGCCCCCAGGGCUACAGGUACGUAUGGGCCUUGCCCCCUUUUGGUUGUACCUUUUGGUGAGUAAUGCGAUCAAUAAGAUGAUGCAACACACACAGCAUUACAUACAUACAUAGAUAGAUACAUGCAUAUGUGUGUCUUACCGGCACGAUUUGGUCUGGGGUUAUCGUGUUCACCGUGAAGCAGUACUCGGUGGUGUUGGGCUUCCUGUCCGCCACCGAGUAGCGAGUGGACACUGUGAAUGGCAGAGUGCCCUGGGUCAUGUUGCACCUGAGGGGAGUGGGUGAGGGGAGUGGGUGAGGGGAGUGGGUGAGGGGAGUGGGUGAGGGGAGUGGGUGAGGGGAGUGGGUGAGGGGAGUGGGUGAGGGGAGUGGGUGAGGGAGAGAGGGUGAGGGAGAGAGGGUGAGGAGAGUGGGUGAGGGGAGUGGGUGAGGGAGAGAGGGUGAGGGAAGAGAGGGUGAGGAGAGUGGUGGAUAGCCAGGAGCCCCCAAACCCCACAUCUCCAUUGCAUCCCAAACCACUCUCAACCCUUCACCCCCCCCCCGUCCCCCCUUCACCCAGAACCUACGUGCUGCCCGGGAAGGGUGUGGGGGACAGGGAGCACGCGAGGGAGGAAGAGAGGUCCAGGCACGUGCUGCCCUCGGUGGUGAUUUCCACCGUGUAACCCUCCAACUCGGGCUUGCAAACACUGCCGCCGCCUGCGGCUUGCUGAAUGAGGU